CCUACGGGAGGCAGCAGUGGGGAAUAUUGGGCAAUGGGCGAAAGCCUGACCCAGCAACGCCGCGUGAAGGAAGAAGGCUUUCGGGUUGUAAACUUCUUUUGACAGGGAAGAGCAGAAGACGGUACCUGUCGAAUAAGCCACGGCUAACUACGUGCCAGCAGCCGCGGUAAUACGUAGGUGGCAAGCGUUGUCCGGAUUUACUGGGUGUAAAGGGCGUGUAGCCGGACUGACAAGUCAGAUGUGAAAUCCGGGGGCUCAACCCCCGAACUGCAUUUGAAACUGUUGGUCUUGAGUAUCGGAGAGGCAGGCGGAAUUCCUAGUGUAGCGGUGAAAUGCGUAGAUAUUAGGAGGAACUCCGAUUGCGAAGGCAGCAUACCGGCGCUCAACUGACGCUCAUGCACGAAAGUGUGGGUAUCGAACAGGAUUAGAUACCCCUGUAGUC
rnacentral:rRNA from 1 species